CAUGGUCUUUUGAUUUUGAUUUAAGAUUUGGCCUGCCCACUGAGUAUUUGAAUGGCCGCGGUAAUUUAACCGUGCGAAGGUAGCAUAAUCAAUAGUUUCUUGAUUGGAAGCUGGAAUGAAUGGUUGGACGAGAAAACUACUGUCUCAAAUUUAUUUUUUUUGAAUUUUAUUUUUGAGUCAAAAAGCUUAAAUUUUGUUAAAAGACGAGAAGACCCUAUAGAGUUUAAUUUAUCAAUCUUAUUUCAUUUGAAGAAUUAAAUUAUUAGAUUGAUAAAUUUUGCUGGGGUGGCAUUAAGAUUAAAUAAACUCUUAAAUUCUUUUUUUCAAUAAUUAUUGUUUAGUUUUGAUCCAAUUUUUUUGAUUAAUAGAUUAAAUUACCUUAGGGAUAACAGCGUUAUUUUUCUUGAGAGUUCUUAUCGAAAGGAAAGAUUGCGACCUCGAUGUUGGAUUAAAAUAAACUUUUGGCGCAAGAGCUAAAAAGGGGAAGUCUGUUCGACUUUUAAAAUUUUACAUGAUCUGAGU
rnacentral:rRNA from 1 species